AACGAACGCUGGCGGCAGGCUUAACACAUGCAAGUCGAGCGCCCCGCAAGGGGAGCGGCAGACGGGUGAGUAACGCGUGGGAAUCUACCCAUCUCUACGGAAUAACGCAUGGAAACGUGUGCUAAUACCGUAUACGUCCUUCGGGCGAAAGAUUUAUCGGAGAUGGAUGAGCCCGCGUUGGAUUAGCUAGUUGGUGGGGUAAAGGCCUACUAAGGCGACGAUCCAUAGCUGGUCUGAGAGGAUGAUCAGCCACACUGGGACUGAGACACGGCCCAGACUCCUACGGGAGGCAGCAGUGGGGAAUAUUGGACAAUGGGCGCAAGCCUGAUCCAGCCAUGCCGCGUGAGUGAUGAAGGCCCUAGGGUUGUAAAGCUCUUUCACCGGUGAAGAUAAUGACGGUAACCGGAGAAGAAGCCCCGGCUAACUUCGUGCAGCAGCCGCCGUAAGAC
rnacentral:rRNA from 1 species